rnacentral:lncRNA from 1 species
CCAAAAGAAGAACGGAGGGGGGCCGACAUUUAACUGAUGGCACGAUACCAGCCUUCAAUGGUGAGAGGCAGCCCCUACACUUCUCCAUCGCACCAAAAAAUGUUUCUGUAGUCUGAAUAAUCGGUCAAUUUUUCCCCUUGGCAUAUGUUUUGAAGGAAAAUUCAUCCUCAGAUCGGAUGUGUUUUUUAUCCACCCAUCUUACUGUUUUCUCUUUCAUUGUACCAUGAUACAAGCAGGACAUCCCCGCGCGCAGCAAGGAGGAGAAUGAUGACGAAGGGACCAUAGCUAUCCCUCGCGUAUCGGAUUUCUCUAUCCUGAGUCGAUGUACCGCAACUUUGCUGUCAACAUAACGAAGGGACGUCUAGUUCACAUGAGGCUUUGCGAAGCAUGGGUGGAUACGAAUGGCGACUUCCCUAGAGAGAUACAACUAUGGACCGAAAGAUGUGCCUGGGGCGUGGAGCUGGUGAAAGAUGGGGACUUUCUCCAUCUGAAGAAAGGAUGGCGUGGGUUCACAGAGGAGCACGGCGUGAAGGUAGGGGAUGUCGUCCACUUCCAAAUAGUCACCCCGUCUGCAUGGGUUCUCCGCAUCAAAGCACCGAACAGAGAGAUUAGAUGCCCGCGCAGCCACUGAGUUGGUAUUUGCUUUUGUUGCCUGGCUUUUCCGGGGGCAUGGUUGCUAGUUGAUGUGUCCCUAAGAUCAGAAAGAGGAUAUCAUUUUGAACUGUUUUUAGCGCAGUACUUGUUAGGCCACAAAAAGCACACUCAAAACACAUCCUCCCCUCCGACUGCCCAUGAACCUGCGGAGCAGCGAGCAUACAAAAAGUGCGACCCCCUUUCGUGUGUAUCAAGUAACCUCCGUUCGGCUCCCUCCGUUUACACUGGUUUUGUAUGCAUGUUUUUUGUAUGUGGCCUUUAGAAAGAAAUGUUUAUGGAAGUACAAGACUGAACGUAUAAAAAGGUUAAAUUCAUUAAACCAGGCAUUUUUUUUCCGGGGGAGAUGUGAUCCCUACAUUCUCUAGCUUAGUACUCCCUCCGUUCCUAAAUACUUGUCUUUCUAGUCAUUUCAAAUGACUAUCACAUACGGAUGUAUGUAGACAUAUUUUAAAGUGUAG